UAUGGCCACAUCAUGUUGAAACAUUGGUUCCCAUACAAUCCCUAGAGUUAAGCAAUGUCGAGCCUGGUCAGUACCUAGAUGGGUGACUGAUUGUAAAUACCAAGUGCUGUAA